AUGCCGUGAUGGGGACAUUUUCUCAACAACUCCUUAAAACGCUCCCAUGCAUCAUAUAAAGAUUCCCCAUCAAGCUGGUAAAAAUUAUCGAUCUCCCCCCUUAAUUU